rnacentral:rRNA from 1 species
CCUUAUGCCGAGCACCGAGACGAGCCCUAUUGGGCGAAGUGACUGAUACCACGCUUCCAGGAAAAGCCACUAAGCUUCAGCUACAGAGAAACCGUACCGUAAACCGACACUGGUAGGCAGGGUGAGAAUCCCAAGGCGCUUGAGAGAACUCGGGUGAAGGAACUAGGCAAAAUGGCACCGUAACUUCGGGAGAAGGUGCGCCCUCCGGCGUGGUCACAUGCGUGACUGAGCGCUAGAGGGUCGCAGUAACCUGGCCGCUGCGACUGUUUAUCAAAAACACAGCACUCUGCAAACACGAAAGUGGACGUAUAGGGUGUGACGCCUGCCCGGUGCUGGAAGGUUAAUUGAUGGGGUCAGCCGCAAGGCGAAGCUCUUGAUCGAAGCCCCAGUAAACGGCGGCCGUAACAAUAACGGUCCUAAGGUAGCGAAAUUCCUUGUCGGGUAAGUUCCGACCUGCACGAAUGGCGUAACGACAGCGGCGCUGUCUCCACCCGAGACUCAGUGAAAUUGAAAUCGCUGUGAAGAUGCAGCGUUCCCGCGGCAAGACGGAAAGACCCCGUGAACCUUUACUAUAGCUUUACACUGAACGUUGAGUUCUUCUGUGUAGGAUAGGUGGGAGGCUAUGAAACCGAGACGCUAGUUUCGGUGGAGCCAUCCUUGAAAUACCACCCUGAAGUGCUUGACGUUCUAACCUAGGUCCGUAAUCCGGAUCAGGGACCGUGUAUGGUGGGUAGUUUGACUGGGGCGGUCUCCUCCCAAAGAGUAACGGAGGAGCACGAAGGUACGCUCAGCGCGGUCGGACAUCGCGCACUGUGUGCAAAGGCAUAAGCGUGCUUGACUGCGAGAUCGACGGAUCAAGCAGGUACGAAAGUAGGUCUUAGUGAUCCGGUGGUUCUGUAUGGAAGGGCCAUCGCUCAACGGAUAAAAGGUACUCCGGGGAUAACAGGCUGAUACCGCCCAAGAGUUCAUAUCGACGGCGGUGUUUGGCACCUCGAUGUCGGCUCAUCACAUCCUGGGGCUGUAGCCGGUCCCAAGGGUAUGGCUGUUCGCCAUUUAAAGUGGUACGCGAGCUGGGUUCAGAACGUCGUGAGACAGUUCGGUCCCUAUCUGUCGUGGGCGUUGGAGAUUUGAGGGGGGCUGCUCCUAGUACGAGAGGACCGGAGUGGACGUUCCGCUGGUGUUCGGGUUGUCAUGCCCAUGGCAUUGCCCGGUAGCUACGAACGGAAGCGAUAACCGCUGAAAGCAUCUAAGCGGGAAGCGCGCCCCAAGAUGAGAUCUCCCGAGACUUCGAGUCUCCUUAAGGCACCAUCAAGACUAGGUGGUUGAUAGGCGCGGUGUGGAAGUGCAGCAAUGCAUUGAGCUUACGCGUACUAAUGAGCCGUGAGGCUUGACC